rnacentral:tRNA from 1 species
AAAGACUUAGUCUAAUUGAGGAUUUUAGUUUGUCGUUCUAAGGGUUUUGGUGGAAGUCUAGGGGUCUUUU